GAUACCCUGUGGGAGAUAAAGUGCUUGUAUUAUUACCCACUUCAAGCUCAAAAUUACUCGCCUAAGCGGCAAGGAUCAUUUGGGUCAUGGGCAGGUGUGUCCCCAAAUUGAGAAGACUACAGCGAUUGGGGACUGCCCGAGGCCCAAGACCAAAAAGGGGGUGAGACAGAUCCUGGGGCUGGCUGGCUACUAUUGCAGGUUCAUAACUAGCUAUUUGGACGUCACCAGCCUGCUGACUGAUCUCACUAAAAAGGGAGCGCCAGAUCCGGUCCAGUGGACAGAGCAGUGCCAACAGGCGUUCACUAAGAUAAAAGCUACUCUGUGUGGGGGCCACUUUUACGCUCCCCUGACUUCUCUCUCUCCCUUUUAUUUUGCAGACAGAGGGCUGGGGGCCAUUCUGUCCCAGGAGGUGGAGGGGGAGGACUGACCAGUGCUGUACAUCAGCCACAAGCUCUCGAUGUGAGAAAAUCUUGACCCACUCCAGUGGCUCCACUGCAUGAAAGAUGCCAAUGCAUGAAUCACCCGUUGGUAUCAAGCCCUCCAGCCUUUUAAAUUCAAGGUGGUCCACAGGCCGGGGGUGCAGAUGGUGGUGGCAGGCGGACUUUCUUUCCAAUCGGGAGAGGGGGUCUGCUGCAAGCCAGAUGGCUCCCUGGCCUAAGUCGGGCGGUGGAGGUAUGUAGCAGCAGGAGUGUGGUCAAGCGUUGGUUUGUGAAUGGAGGGCAGAGCCAGGGAAGGUGAGUGGCAAAGUGAUCAUACCUGUUGUCAAUUGAUGAUGUGUGUGUGUCUGUUGUAGUGAUGACGGAGCAGAGAAAAGGAGGGAGAGAGCAAAGAGGUGGCUGUCUCCCAAUCCGAUCAUGUGUGUAUGUGAUAAACCAAAAGUUACAUUGAAAAGCAAAAAUCUUAAUAAAAAGGACCUGUUAUAUA